GGGCGUUAAGUUGCAGGGUAUAGACCCGAAACCCGGUGAUCUAGCCAUGGGCAGGUUGAAGGUUGGGUAACACUAACUGGAGGACCGAACCGACUAAUGUUGAAAAAUUAGCGGAUGACCUGUGGCUGGGGGUGAAAGGCCAAUCAAACCGGGAGAUAGCUGGUUCUCCCCGAAAGCUAUUUAGGUAGCGCCUCGUGAAUUCAUCUCCGGGGGUAGAGCACUGUUUCGGCUAGGGGGCCAUCCCGGCUUACCAACCCGAUGCAAACUGCGAAUACCGGAGAAUGUUAUCACGGGAGACACACGGCGGGUGCUAACGUCCGUCGUGAAGAGGGAAACAACCCAGACCGCCAGCUAAGGUCCCAAAGUCAUGGUUAAGUGGGAAACGAUGUGGGAAGGCCCAGACAGCCAGGAUGUUGGCUUAGAAGCAGCCAUCAUUUAAAGAAAGCGUAAUAGCUCACUGGUCGAGUCGGCCUGCGCGGAAGAUGUAACGGGGCUAAACCAUGCACCGAAGCUGCGGCAGCGACACUAUGUGUUGUUGGGUAGGGGAGCGUUCUGUAAGCCUGCGAAGGUGGCCUGUGAGGGUUGCUGGAGGUAUCAGAAGUGCGAAUGCUGACAUAAGUAACGAUAAAGCGGGUGAAAAGCCCGCUCGCCGGAAGACCAAGGGUUCCUGUCCAACGUUAAUCGGGGCAGGGUGAGUCGACCCCUAAGGCGAGGCCGAAAGGCGUAGUCGAUGGGAAACGGGUUAAUAUUCCCGUACUUGGUGUUACUGCGAAGGGGGGACGGAGAAGGCUAUGUUGGCCGGGCGACGGUUGUCCCGGUUUAAGCGUGUAGGUGUGUGUUCCAGGUAAAUCCGGUUCACUUUAACACUGAGGCGUGAUGACGAGGCACUACGGUGCUGAAGCAACAAAUGCCCUGCUUCCAGGAAAAGCCUCUAAGCAUCAGGUAACAUCAAAUCGUACCCCAAACCGACACAGGUGGUCAGGUAGAGAAUACCAAGGCGCUUGAGAGAACUCGGGUGAAGGAACUAGGCAAAAUGGUGCCGUAACUUCGGGAGAAGGCACGCUGACACGUAGGUGAAGUGAUUUACUCAUGGAGCUGAAGUCAGUCGAAGAUACCAGCUGGCUGCAACUGUUUAUUAAAAACACAGCACUGUGCAAACACGAAAGUGGACGUAUACGGUGUGACGCCUGCCCGGUGCCGGAAGGUUAAUUGAUGGGGUCAGCGCAAGCGAAGCUCCUGAUCGAAGCCCCGGUAAACGGCGGCCGUAACUAUAACGGUCCUAAGGUAGCGAAAUUCCUUGUCGGGUAAGUUCCGACCUGCACGAAUGGCGUAAUGAUGGCCAGGCUGUCUCCACCCGAGACUCAGUGAAAUUGAACUCGCUGUGAAGAUGCAGUGUACCCGCGGCAAGACGGAAAGACCCCGUGAACCUUUACUAUAGCUUGACACUGAACAUUGAGCCUUGAUGUGUAGGAUAGGUGGGAGGCUUUGAAGUGUGGACGCCAGUCUGCAUGGAGCCGGCCUUGAAAUACCACCCUUUAAUGUUUGAUGUUCUAACGUGGACCCGUGAUCCGGGUUGCGGACAGUGUCUGGUGGGUAGUUUGACUGGGGCGGUCUCCUCCUAAAGAGUAACGGAGGAGCACGAAGGUUGGCUAAUCCUGGUCGGACAUCAGGAGGUUAGUGCAAUGGCAUAAGCCAGCUUGACUGCGAGCGUGACGGCGCGAGCAGGUGCGAAAGCAGGUCAUAGUGAUCCGGUGGUUCUGAAUGGAAGGGCCAUCGCUCAACGGAUAAAAGGUACUCCGGGGAUAACAGGCUGAUACCGCCCAAGAGUUCAUAUCGACGGCGGUGUUUGGCACCUCGAUGUCGGCUCAUCACAUCCUGGGGCUGAAGUAGGUCCCAAGGGUAUGGCUGUUCGCCAUUUAAAGUGGUACGCGAGCUGGGUUUAGAACGUCGUGAGACAGUUCGGUCCCUAUCUGCCGUGGGCGCUGGAGAACUGAGGGGGGCUGCUCCUAGUACGAGAGGACCGGAGUGGACGCAUCACUGGUGUUCGGGUUGUCAUGCCAAUGGCACUGCCCGGUAGCUAAAUGCGGAAGAGAUAAGUGCUGAAAGCAUCUAAGCACGAAACUUGCCCCGAGAUGAGUUCUCCCUGAGACUUAGAGUCUCCUGAAGGAACGUUGAAGACGACGACGUUGAUAGGCCGGGUGUGUAAGCGCAGCGAUGCGUUGAGCUAACCGGUACUAAUGAACCGUGAGGCUUAACCUUACAACGCCGAAG
rnacentral:rRNA from 2 species